rnacentral:lncRNA from 1 species
GAACCUGGGAGGUUUGUUUGACGCAAGACCAGUGUUGAAUUCACCAUUUGGUGCCAUAGUUGUUGUUGUAAGAUGUUAGUCAAACUUCAACGGUACUUGGCUCUGAUACCACUUGUUGGAUCGUGAUCCGAGGCUAUAAGGGGGGAUAAUAGCAUCUUUUCGAUUUAUACAGGUUGAUUGCAGAAUUACCUGUAAACACUUAAUAAAUAAAUGGUUGAACAAUAAUGAUAUAGCGAUAUUAUGACUUUGAUUGAUAUAAUAACGUAAUUAUUACUCUUCGAAGCUUACCACAGUAUAUGAAUACUGAGUCAACUUGCUUGAUAGUGUUUUACAAACAACUAUAGUAUAUGAGUACUAAGUUAUAUUGUAAGCACAAAUUGUAUUGUAGAGUAAAUGACCAGAUAACUGGAUAUAUUGAUAAGCAAGUAAAUGACCAAAUAACUUGAUAUAUUGAUAAGCAAGUAAAUGACCAGAUAACUAGAUAUAAAUGAUAAGUAAAUGCUUGAACAAAUAUAUGAAUAAGGAUUUAAAGCAAUGAAUAUAACCUCAGAUAGUUGACCAGAUAACUGGAUGAGGGAUCUGCGUAAAGUAGUCAACCUCUGUAUUUGACCAGAUAACUGGAAGAGGGAUCCUUUUCAAUUAAGUGUUGUUUAGUUGUUUUUAGAUGAAAGAUAAAAACUAAAGUUAACAAAUAACAACACAAGAGAUUUAUACUGGUUCACCCAAACAAGGGCUAUUCCAGUCCCGACCAACUGUCGGAAUUCACUCGCCUAAAGGUUACGGCAAAACCUUAGAGUAUCAAGGAAACUCUUAAGAACCUCUCUAAGCUUUAAGGCUACUUCGCUUAGGAACCAGUCUUUUACGGGUAGACUCACACCUUAGAGUAUCAAGGGCACUCUUAAGAACUUCUAACUUCUGCGGGUAAGUUAGUACCUUAGAGUAUCAAGGAAUUCUUAAAAACCUCUCUAAGCUUUAAGGCUACUUCGCUUAAGAACCAGUCUUUUACGGGUAGACUCACACCUUAGAGUAUCAAGGGACUCUUAAAAACCUAGAAAUCUUUCAAGGUAGAUUCGACCUAAGAGUUUUCCCGAAAACUCUAUAAAACCAAACUAGAACUUUAUGGUUGAGCUCGAAAACCUUCUCUCACACUUUGGUACUAUUGAGACAACCCUCUCAACCAAAGUGGACACACACAAGAGGAGAUUAGAGGAGUGGAAUAUUAAAGCAAACAACACUUCUUACUUGUAAAGAUGAACAAGAAGAUUAUAAGAAGAAGUUGCAGAGCUUUUGAAGCUUUGGAAAGCUAGGACACUUGAGCACUUGAAAGCUUGGAAGCUUGGAGGCAAAAACGUGUGGGCAAGUGUGGAGUGAAAUCUCUUGAGUUUGCUUGUAGUGUGGUGAGUGAAAAUGAGGGGAUUACCCUUCUAUUUAUAGCCUUGGCCACUCA